GGUGGGUUGGCUCAGUGGUUCGAGCGUAGGUCUUGUGACCGAAAGGUUGCGGGAUCGAAUCCCGCUAGAGGCUG
rnacentral:tRNA from 1 species